UUUGACAUCGAUGACUUCAAUGCAGACGAUUAUAUACAGUAUAUACUUGACAGGUUUGUGUGUAUCACAAAUGAUUGGGGGCCAUAUGAAGUCAGUGUUUGGUAAAAGUGUAAGACAACAUCAAUAGAAUUCUACAAACUGACAUUACAGAAUGCCAAACUUCAGGAAGGCUGGGGGGGAAAAACUGUUUGUUCAGUUACGACACAUCACAUGUAAGCACAGCUCAAACUUCUGGACGGCUGGGGGGAAACUGUUUGUUCGUUCAAUUACGACACAUCACAGGUAAGCACAGCUCAAACUUCUGGACGGCUGGGGGGAAACUGUUUGUUCGUUCAAUUACGACACAUCACAGGUAAGCACAGCUCAAACUUCUGGACGGCUGGGGGGAAACUGUUUGUUCGUUCAAUUACGACACAUCACAGGUAAGCACAGCUCAAACUUCUGGACGGCUGGGGGGAAACUGUUUGUUCGUUCAAUUACGACACAUCACAGGUAACCACAACUCACGGGACCAAUGCCGUCUUUGGUAUAGAACAAACGCCACUGAAAUGUGAAGGUAGUUGAAAUUCAUUACGAAACAACUGAAGCAAGGACAGUAUCAGUCAUACCCAUUAACUUAAAUACAAGAAUUACACUCCUCUACAUAUUUAUUGAGACAAUGAAGC
rnacentral:lncRNA from 1 species